rnacentral:tRNA from 1 species
UGCCUGGUGGCCAAGCGGUAAGGCAUCUCGCUCUGGACGAGAAAACCGUAGGUUCGAAUCCUACCCAGGCAGCCA